GACUUGUUUUAAUGAUCAGCUUUUGGAGAAUCAUAUCAAGAAUGAGCUUAUAGAGAAUAGUCAGCUGGUCCAUGCACUGCCUAGCUCUGAGGAAAGCAAAUUGCCUACUUCUGAGCCUCGGAAAUCUGCAUCUAUAGCUUGUGGAGCAAGUGUUUUUGAAGUUUCCUUGAAGGUUCCUACAUGGGCUUCACAGGUUUUGAGGCAACUGGCACCAGAUGUUUCUUACCGCAGCAUAGUUAUGCUAGGAAUUGCUAGCAUUCAGGGAUUGUCUGUGGCUUCCUUUGAGAAAGAUGAUGCAGAACGCCUCCUUUUCUUUUGUUCAAAGGAAGGCAAAGAACUAUAUGCUAACAACUUAGUUCUCACUAAGCCUCCUAGCUGGUUGAUACCUCCUGCACCUAGUCGAAAAAGAUCUGAGCCAUACAGAGAAACUAAACCUUUCACUUCUAUUGGACAUGAACGAGAAAAUGGAGGAAAUCUUAAACAGAAACUGAAUGUUGCUGCAAUGAGGCCAAUCCCUCACACUCGGUGUCAUAAGAUGUUGCCUUUUUCUGGAUUUUCUGAGGGCGAAAGAUAUGAUGGAGAUCAAGGAAAGCCUAAUUUGCCAGUUCCUCCUGCAAAGCAUGGUGUUGUCGGCCCAGCUCCUGUCUCUCAUCGGAAAUCUCUGUCUAGCUCUUAUCAGGCUCAGCAGAUUAUUUCUCUAAAUCCAUUGCCUCUAAAGAAACAUGGUUGUGGCAGAGCACCUAUACAAGUUUGCUCAGAGGAGGAAUUUUUGAGGGAUGUGAUGCAGUUCCUGAUCCUUCGCGGACAUACUCGCCUUGUUCCACAGGGUGGACUGGCUGAGUUUCCUGAUGCCAUCCUUAAUGCAAAACGCCUGGACCUUUUCAACUUGUAUAGAGAGGUUGUUUCAAGAGGAGGCUUUCAUGUUGGGAAUGGCAUCAACUGGAAAGGACAGGUUUUCUCAAAGAUGCGCAAUCAUACAUUGACCAAUAGAAUGACUGGUGUUGGCAAUACAUUGAAAAGACAUUAUGAAACUUACCUUUUGGAAUAUGAAUUAGCCCAUGAUGAUGUGGAUGGAGAAUGUUGCUUGUUGUGUCACAGUAGUGCGGCUGGGGACUGGGUGAACUGUGGAAUAUG
rnacentral:misc_RNA from 1 species